CGGGAUUGCCUUAGUAACGGCGAGUGAAGCGGCAAAAGCUCAAAUUUGAAAUCUGGUACCUUCGGUGCCCGAGUUGUAAUUUGGAGAGGGCAACUUUGGGGCCGUUCCUUGUCUAUGUUCCUUGGAACAGGACGUCAUAGAGGGUGAGAAUCCCGUGUGGCGAGGAGUGCGGUUCUUUGUAAAGUGCCUUCGAAGAGUCGAGUUGUUUGGGAAUGCAGCUCUAAGUGGGUGGUAAAUUCCAUCUAAAGCUAAAUAUUGGCGAGAGACCGAUAGCGAACAAGUACAGUGAUGGAAAGAUGAAAAGAACUUUGAAAAGAGAGUGAAAAAGUACGUGAAAUUGUUGAAAGGGAAGGGCAUUUGAUCAGACAUGGUGUUUUGUGCCCUCUGCUCCUUGUGGGUAGGGGAAUCUCGCAUUUCACUGGGCCAGCAUCAGUUUUGGUGGCAGGAUAAAUCCAUAGGAAUGUAGCUUGCCUGUAAGUAUUAUAGCCUGUGGGAAUACUGCCAGCUGGGACUGAGGACUGCGACGUAAGUCAAGGAUGCUGGCAUAAUGGUUAUAUGCCGC
rnacentral:rRNA from 1 species